rnacentral:rRNA from 1 species
GCUUGCUACUGGACCUAGCGGCGGACGGGUGAGUAAUGCUUAGGAAUCUGCCUAUUAGUGGGGGACAACAUCUCGAAAGGGAUGCUAAUACCGCAUACGUCCUACGGGAGAAAGCAGGGGAUCUUCGGACCUUGCGCUAAUAGAUGAGCCUAAGUCGGAUUAGCUAGUUGGUGGGGUAAAGGCCUACCAAGGCGACGAUCUGUAGCGGGUCUGAGAGGAUGAUCCGCCACACUGGGACUGAGACACGGCCCAGACUCCUACGGGAGGCAGCAGUGGGGAAUAUUGGACAAUGGGGGGAACCCUGAUCCAGCCAUGCCGCGUGUGUGAAGAAGGCCUUAUGGUUGUAAAGCACUUUAAGCGAGGAGGAGGCUACUUUAGUUAAUACCUAGAGAUAGUGGACGUUACUCGCAGAAUAAGCACCGGCUAACUCUGUGCCAGCAGCCGCGGUAAUACAGAGGGUGCGAGCGUUAAUCGGAUUUACUGGGCGUAAAGCGUGCGUAGGCGGCUUAUUAAGUCGGAUGUGAAAUCCCCGAGCUUAACUUGGGAAUUGCAUUCGAUACUGGUGAGCUAGAGUAUGGGAGAGGAUGGUAGAAUUCCAGGUGUAGCGGUGAAAUGCGUAGAGAUCUGGAGGAAUACCGAUGGCGAAGGCAGCCAUCUGGCCUAAUACUGACGCUGAGGUACGAAAGCAUGGGGAGCAAACAGGAUUAGAUACCCUGGUAGUCCAUGCCGUAAACGAUGUCUACUAGCCGUUGGGGCCUUUGAGGCUUUAGUGGCGCAGCUAACGCGAUAAGUAGACCGCCUGGGGAGUACGGUCGCAAGACUAAAACUCAAAUGAAUUGACGGGGGCCCGCACAAGCGGUGGAGCAUGUGGUUUAAUUCGAUGCAACGCGAAGAACCUUACCUGGCCUUGACAUACUAGAAACUUUCCAGAGAUGGAUUGGUGCCUUCGGGAAUCUAGAUACAGGUGCUGCAUGGCUGUCGUCAGCUCGUGUCGUGAGAUGUUGGGUUAAGUCCCGCAACGAGCGCAACCCUUUUCCUUACUUGCCAGCAUUUCGGAUGGGAACUUUAAGGAUACUGCCAGUGACAAACUGGAGGAAGGCGGGGACGACGUCAAGUCAUCAUGGCCCUUACGGCCAGGGCUACACACGUGCUACAAUGGUCGGUACAAAGGGUUGCUACACAGCGAUGUGAUGCUAAUCUCAAAAAGCCGAUCGUAGUCCGGAUUGGAGUCUGCAACUCGACUCCAUGAAGUCGGAAAUCGCUAGUA